rnacentral:tRNA from 1 species
UGGCUCGGUUCGCUCCGGCCCGGUCGGGUCUGGCUCGGGCUCGGGCUCGGGCUCGGCCUGGCUCGGCUUGGCUCGGUUCGACUCCGUCCGGCUCGGC